GAAAAGGUAAAGAUUGAGACAAGUAGAAUAUCCGAUUUUGUCCCAGAGAGCUGAUGGCCGGUGAAAAUCAGCACAGACGGAUGCUUCGAAUACACUCAUGAACCGCUUUUGCAAACAAAGCCUGAUGGGGCUUUCAGUAGUGAAAGAACGGAUCUGAUCCGUUAUCAGACAAAGUGAUAAGAGAGAGUAUGCCCUCUUCUUAUUAGUAGGGUGGUACCGCGAUAACAAUCGUCCCUUCG
rnacentral:ncRNA from 1 species